rnacentral:rRNA from 1 species
UACGUAGGGAGCAAGCGUUAUCCGGAUUUAUUGGGUGUAAAGGGUGCGUAGGCGGGCGUUCAAGUUGAAUGUGAAAUCCACCGGCUUAACUGGUGGGCUGCGUUCAAAACUGAAUGUCUUGAGUAUGGUAGAGGCAAGCGGAAUUCCCAGUGUAGCGGUAAAAUGCGUAGAGAUUGGGAGGAACACCAGUGGCGAAGGCGGCUUGCUGGGCCAAAACUGACGCUGAGGCACGAAAGUGUGGGGAGCAAAC